CCCAGCUCAAUUCUGUACCCCGAGCUGGACAUUCCAUCAUUACCAUGCCUAUCACAUACAAACAGGGUUCUGUGAAUGAGCAAGAGGAACUUCCAGAGUCAGCCCCACAAACACUUCUGGUUUUUGGUGGAGGUGAUAACGAAGGGAGCUUCUUCUCUGACCUUUUCACUAUCCCAGUAGAGGAGCUAAAAGACUAAACCUUGCAUCAGGAUUUGGUUUUACAUGCUUUUUUUUUUUUUUUAAUAUUAGUUUUAUGUUGUGGUGUUUCAGCUUUAGUUUUUUUUGUGUGUGUGUUGAUGCUUGUGUAUUUAAAGAGGUCUAUUACACUUUCA